UACGUAGGGUGCGAGCGUUAAUCGGAAUUACUGGGCGUAAAGCGUGCGCAGGCGGUUCGUUAAGUCAGCUGUGAAAGCCCCGGGCUUAACCUGGGAACUGCCAUCGAAACUGGCGUACUAGAGUGUGGCAGAGGGGGGUGGAAUUCCGCGUGUAGCAGUGAAAUGCGUAGAUAUGCGGAGGAACACCGAUGGCGAAGGCAGCCCCCUGGGCUAACACUGACGCUCAGGCACGGAAAGCGUGGGGAGCAAACAGG
rnacentral:rRNA from 1 species